GUGCAGCUAAAGGGAGAGCAGAGUAACCAGGAAAGACCACUUGAGCCUCAGGGAGGGAGGCAUACCUCGCUGUGCCAUAUUCAACCAAAGCCCACCAGGUCCAUCUUGUGAAGUCACAAGCCUGAAGUAAGUGGCCCUUUAAGUUUUUUGUGAUGUUCUGAGAGAUUCAGCUUAGUUCACCAUUAGCUCCCAACUGGAUUGUUGCCUGGGUCUCCAAGUCUUCACACUUGCCUGCUUCCCUCCCAUUUCAUUCUCCCUUAUUUUCUCUGAGCGACAGUUACCGACUGGUUCAGAGCACAGUCCUUGAUGUUGCACACAUCUCGUUCAGAUAGUAACCCCACCCUGCUUUGUCGCUGUUGGUGUGAGCUUGGACAAGUUAUUUCACUUCUUUAAGAAUCCUUUCUCUUGACAUUCCCGUCAUGGCUUCGCAGAGACGAAUCUGACUAGUGUCCAUGAGGUUCAAUCCCUAGCCUUUCUCAGUGGGUUAAGGAUCUUAUGUUUCCCUGAGCUGUAGCAUGGGUUUCAGGCAGUGGCCUGAAUCCUGCAUUGCUGCGGCGUAGGCCAGCAGCUGUAGCUCCGAUUUGACCCCUAUCCUAGGAACCUCCAUGUGUCGUGGGCUUGGCCCUAAGAAGACAGAAAAGCAUCUUUUCCUUCAUUUGUAAAAGGGGAGAGUGGUGGUCUCUACUCCUGUAGAUGUCGUGAGAAGCUCCAGAAGUACUAAGUGUAGAGUGGCCCAUGGUAACUCAUAGUAAUUUAGUAAAAUGGCAGAUUAAAAUGGAUUACAACAGUGAUACUGCUACCAUGAGUGCAUGAAGUGAUGGACCAUGGUAUCUAGACUUGAUAGGGAGUUAAGCAGUAGGGUGGCAAUGAGCUGAAGAAUGGGAGAAGUCAAAGGGCGAGAUGUCUUUUGAGAAUUAGAAGUGGGUAUUCUGAGUCACAGGGUUGAGAGGUUGUAGGCAGAGAAUGGGUCAGUGGAGUGCAGGAGUUCUGAAGUGGAUCAAUGUACAGAGUGGUCUAGGACCUUUUAAGAGCUGUAAAUGCCAUGUGAAGUGGCAUGUGGUCAGAGGUUUACAAGUGUUGGAGAUCAAGGGACAGUGAGAUUAGAACUGUGGGCUGAGUCAUCGGUAGUCAUUGAGGUUGUUUAUCUGAUGGCAUGGGUUGGAAUGGAGAGGCAAAUUGAGCUAGUGCUGAGCUAAGGUCCAUGCUCAUUAACAGGGAACAUUUAUUUCACAAAUGUUUACCAAACUCCUAGUAAUGCCAUGGUGUAGCAAGACAGACAAGAGUCCUGCUCUCUGGGAGCUUGCAGUCUAGGAGGAGUGGUAACAGACCUUACUAAUCCUGCCUAUAAAUAGCAAACUGCAAAUUGAGAUAAGAGCCAUAAAGGAAAAAUCAGGGUUCUAUAAGUACUUGUAAGUGGAGGCCCUGACCCUGUCUGAAGUGUCAGGGAAGGCUCCCCUGAAGAAGUGAUGAGAACUGGAAGGAUCAACUGGAGUGGAAAGAGAUAGAAGAGGAAUGAAUGGAGGAAGUAUUCAAGGUAGAGGAGACAAACAGCAUGUGCAGAGACCUGAAGCUAGAACAUGUAUAAGGGACUUGAAGCACUGAAAGGCGUCUCCUAGGACUAGAGCAUCUUAAACAAGGAGAGUAUUGGGAACUGAGGCUGGAUGGUGACCCCCUUAAUUAUUUGGGGUUUUAUGCUAGGAGUGGUGGGAAUACUCCUACUAAAGGGUAUUGAUUAGGUGAAUGACAUAAUUAUAUGGGUCUGUGUUUCUUUUUUAAAAUUUAAAAUUAAACUUACUAAUAUUUCUCUCCAUGUCCUCCGCAAGUAUAGAGGUAUGUCAUUAGGUUGUGACUCUGAUUCCUUAUCUGUAUUCCUUUGACAGACUUUAAGAUGUGGGAGGAGGAGGGUAAUGUCUGCUAGAUAGCUCUAACAUUCCCAGGGGUAACGAAAGUAUCUUUUGCAUUGAGUCAUUUGGAAAAUAUUUAUAAAAAUCCGAAUCAAAGCACAACAGUCUUCCUUGUAUUUUACAUGUCAUUUGGUGUCAUAACCCUGAGGUGGACAUCCAUGAGUCUAUGUAGAGGAUUUUUUUUUUACUUUUCUUUUUUCCUUUUAUUUCACAGAAUUAUUUCCUCCCCUUAAGUUGAUCCCUGUAGCCACACAUCAUAGGAGCAGCCAGUUAUUCUCUCUUAACUACAGAAAUACGUAGGAACACCUUAAUAAUCAGUGGAGAUUUCCAGUCACUUUAUGAUGUGUCAUGAGAGAAACUUUUGGUUAUUUAGAUCACAACUGAAAAAAAUAACACAGAAGAAUCUAGUGACUUUCACUCCCCCAUGGCUUCUGAUGCUUUUGUAAGUAGCAAUUCUCUACACUAAAUAUAUUUUUGCUUGAGGUACCUAAAGUAGAAUGAUGUUCCUUCACACAACUAUGAAUGAAACAGACCAGAGCACCAAAGUGUUUCCAAGAACAAGACCACCAAAAAUGGCAGCUAAGGGUAGUUUUACAUCUGCAGGUAUUUUUGGAAGGUCCUAAGUGGAAAGUACUGGAUUUCCAUGGCAUGAAAUAGCAAGUAACUCCUUAGAUUAUCAAGUGUGUCUGAACAAAGUGCCCUUUGAAGGUAGGACUUACACUAACUCAACUCUUUUUUGGAUAUUAACCCCUUCCUUGUCAGACAUGUGAUUCUCAAAUAUUUUCUCCAAUUCCAUAGGUUGACUUUUUAUUUUUAGAUCAUUUCCUUUGCAAUGCAUAGGUUUUAAGCCUGAGGCAGUCCCACUUGUUUAAUUUUGUUUUGCUGUCUUUGCUUUAGUUGUUGAAUCAAAAAAAUCAUUGCCAAGAUCAUUGUCAAAUUCUUGGGUCAAAGAAUGUACCCCCAAUGUUUUCUUCUAGGAAUUUUCUGUUUUCUGGUCUGUGUUUAAAUAUGUGAACCAUUUUGAGUUGAUUUUUGUGUAUGAUAUAAGAAAGGUCCAGGUUUAUUUGUGCACAUGGCUGUUCAGUUUUCCCAACAUGUUUGUUGAAGAGACUAUACUUUCUGCCUUAUAGUCUUGCCUCCUUUGUCAUAAACUAAUUGAUCAUUGAUAUGUGGGUUUAUUUUUGGGUUUUCUCUUCUAUUGCAUUCAUCUAUCUCUGUUUUUAUGUCAAUACUAUAUUGUUUUGACUGUUGUAGCUUUGUAAUAUAAUUUUAAAUCAAGGAGCAUGAAGCAUCCAGCUUUGUCUUUCUCAAGGUUGUCUCAACUAUUUGGGUCCUUUUUGGUUCUGUACACAUCAUCUGUGAAAGAUACCAUGGGAAUUUUGAUAGAGAUUUCAUUGACUCUAUGUAUUGCUCUUGCUGACAUGGGUGUUUUAACUAUAUUAGGACUUCAUCUGUGAGCACAGAAUAUCCAUUAAUUUCUUUUUAACUUUUUCAAUUGACUGCAUUAAUGUCUUAUAAUUUUCAGUGUAAAGAUCUCUCAUUUUUCUUUGCUAAACUUAUUCCUGGGUAUUUUACUCAUUUGAUACAAUUAUAAUUUAUCACCUAAAGCUCUGGUCACAUUUUUUUGCUGUUAUUACUUACUUUUUUUUAAUGAAUAGACCUUCCAGCUAUUAUACCACCAUUUAUCAAGGGAGGUUGAUUGGAUAUUGAUCAUGCAACUCUAUGCAAUUGUGUUCUAUAUAAACACUCUAAUAAGUAACCUUCUGGGAGUUCCUGUUGUGGGGCAGUGGAAAUGAGUCUGAGCCAGUAUCCAUGAGGAUGCAGGUUCAAUCUGUGGCCUUGCUCAGUGGGUCGGGGAUCUGGUGUUGCUGUGAGCUGUGAUGUAGGUCGCAGACACAGCUUGGAUCCUGUGUUGCUGUGGCUGUGAAAUAGGCCAGCAGCUGUAGCUCUGAUUUCAACGCCUAGCCUGGGAACUUCCAUAUGCCACAAUUGCAGCCCUGAAAAGCAAAAAAAAAAAAAAAANAAAAAAAAAAAAAAAAAAAAA
rnacentral:lncRNA from 1 species